UGCCCCGUGGCUGAGUUGGUUACAGCGUCCGACUGUUACUUCCUCUUAGUAGUAAAUCGGAAGGUCGUGAGUUCGAGCCUCACCGGGGCAG